GCCCGGUCCCAUUCCGAACCCGGAAGCUAAGCCCUCCAGCGCCGAUGGUACUGCACUCGACAGGGUGUGGGAGAGUAGGACACCGCCGAAC
rnacentral:rRNA from 5 species